AAAGUCAUAAGAUCAGCAAGAAGAGAAACUGUAGAUUUGCCUCAACUCAACAUGUUAAGUAAUCGCCUGACAUCUACAUAAGACCACCUCUUGGCACCUGGCUACACAAGCUGAAAUGGUAAAACUCCUUGAGAAACCACACAAGGAUGGAAUACUUGCUUAGAGACAUGAGAGUAGCCUAGAAUCUAAGAAUCUGUACUUCCUUCUACAGUUGUCUUUGGAAAAAGAAUAGACAUUCAUGGCAGACCAAAGAUCACUCUCUGAAGAACAACUGUGAAGAUGAAAUGAAGUAAUAAUUUAAAUGAAUUAUAAAGAAAGACCAUUUUAUAAAUGUGAGAUGCCAUGUAAUGCCUUGACUUCCUUGACUUACUAUAAGGGGUGUUAUGUGAGAAAUCCACACAGGAGAAACCCAAGAAAACCACGCAGGUAAAUGCUAGCCUGGAAAGACAGAGGGAAAACAUGCCAAGUGGAGCCCACCACAAGGACAGCAGUCAGAGCCCAAGAGCCCAGCUUUAAAAGGCAUGUAUUCACUGAUGUGCUUUAAAAUCUGUAAUAAACUGCAGUAUACUCUGGUAGUGAGGAAGAGUUGAGGCAC